rnacentral:rRNA from 1 species
UACAGAGGUCCCGAGCGUUGUUCGGAUUCACUGGGCGUAAAGGGUGCGCAGGUGGGCUGGUAAGUUCGAUGUGAAAGUCCCGGGCUUAACCCGGGAACGGCAUUGGAUACUACUGGUCUGGAGGAUUGGAGGGGGGACUGGAAUUCUUGGUGUAGCGGUGAAAUGCGCAGAUAUCAGGAGGAACACCGGUGGCGAAGGCGGGUCUCUGGGCCGAAACUGACGCUGAGGAGCGAAAGCGUGGGGAGCAAACAGG